GAUGAACGCUGGCGGCGUGCCUAAUACAUGCAAGUCGAGUGAACGGACGAGAAGCUUGCUUUUCUGAUGUUAGCGGCGGACGGGUGAGUAACACGUGGAUAACCUACCUAUAAGACUGGGAUAACUUCGGGAAACCGGAGCUAAUACCGGAUAAUAUUUUGAACCGCAUGGUUCAAAAGUGAAAGACGGUCUUGCUGUCACUUAUAGAUGGAUCCGCGCUGCAUUAGCUAGUUGGUAAGGUAACGGCUUACCAAGGCAACGAUGCAUAGCCGACCUGAGAGGGUGAUCGGCCACACUGGAACUGAGACACGGUCCAGACUCCUACGGGAGGCAGCAGUAGGGAAUCUUCCGCAAUGGGCGAAAGCCUGACGGAGCAACGCCGCGUGAGUGAUGAAGGUCUUCGGAUCGUAAAACUCUGUUAUUAGGGAAGAACAUAUGUGUAAGUAACUGUGCACAUCUUGACGGUACCUAAUCAGAAAGCCACGGCUAACUACGUG
rnacentral:rRNA from 1 species